CAGCCCUGAAUAUUUACAAGGAGAGUUAAUAACAUCUCAGAUCAAAUUCUUAGAGAUAAAUGUAAGAACUUCAUAAGUAUUUUUUAUUUUGAGGGCUUGUAGCUAAAGGAGAUGUUCAGUGUGUUCCUUAGUGGGUGCCAAAAAGCUUAUUUUCAGAAGUGUCUGAAUUUCAGGGAAAGUCAAUAACUGCUAUAUUUAAUCUGAAAUUGCUGCAACUGCUGCUGAAAUCCAUCUAUAUCCAUUUUGUAGGAAUAAUAAGGAAAAAAAUACAGCAAGUUUUGGUUCCCACACCCUCAGCUCUUCAAACUGUGAGGAGGAAGGGCUGUGUCCUUGCUGGAAGUGCUUUGGGAUACCCUGAGCAGAGAGCCCAUGGUGCACCCUGGCCAUCAGACCCCUCAGACCUGAGGUUCAGCCUUAUUUCCCUGCAGAAAUGAAGUUUUGGCCAGAAGUACCCAUGAGUUGGAUCUGGAGCUGCUCACAAGCCUGGCCCUGCCUGAUGUCAGAGGACAACCUCUGAAAGAUGUCAACAAUUCUAUGGGUGGGAGAAGAAAUGUGACCUUCAGGAUGAGGAAAGGUGGCCAGGACUUCCGAGCUGGCUCUAAGAGGAAGGAUGAGGAGCAAGGCACAGAAAUCCAGCUCAGGAGGGCACUGCCCAUUCUGCCCCUGGGUCAGGGCUCUGCUGCUUUUCACUGCUGCCCAAACCAGCAGCACUGACACUGACAAUGGGGAUUUUUCCGAGCUCUUGCUCAUCACACCAGAUGUGCCUUGUGCUUUUUUUUUCAAGCUCAUUUGAAUGUAUGUAAUGGACUUCUGGCUUUGAAAAAAUCAUCAGUUACCAGAUGUCUUUUGAAUUGUCUACCUUGCAAAACUGUCCGUUACCAGAUGUCUUUUAAAUUGUAAACCUCUGCUGUCAGAGGUUAAAGCUGUGUCAAAACAGUCACUGAUAUGAAUUCAUAUUACACUUUAAAUGCAUGAUGAUUUCCUCCAACUCUUUCCCCUUUAAAAGCCUCUCAUGGAAAUGUUAUGGCUCACCCAGGAUUUGUCACCCGCCCAUCGCUAGAGAUUCAGUGAUAAAUGCUUUUAAUAAUUAACAGUGGCAGGAGCUUUGUACCUCUGUCUCGUGGAUAUCUCACCUCUCAGACAGCAGAAAUAAAAGCCUGUUGUAACAGGAAGAGUAAUGAUCUGGUGUAAGGCUCCUGCAGCUGCACCACCAGUGCAGAUCUUCUACAAGUGGAGCUGUUUGCCAACAGGAUUUUGUCCUGGGCCCAGCUGGGAGCUCAAGGCAGCUGGAGAAGCAGAGAUGCCUGCAGAGUUCCUGAGGAGCCAAGCAAACACACCUCGCUGGCCAUUUGCAGGGGCUGGAGGCAGCAUCACUGCACCCUGAGGGGAUCCACAGCACAGCCCUCUGCCAUAACCACUUACUUCCUUGGAGAAAAUGGGCUGAAAACGGCACUUCUGCUGUUGUUGCACACAUCCGUUUUCCUGGCACAAAAAGGCCCAGCAGCAUCUGAUGGGAGUGUUGGGGAGUCCUCUUUCAACCAGUUCUCAGAGGUGUCCUGAAUCUGAAAUGGAGCCCCGUGCAGCACAGCCAGGUACCAUGGCGUUAGCUUUUUGUCACCACUGGGAGAAAACAUCUUUCACACCAUCUCAGAGCAAAGAGCACUUUGGGGCUCAAAGACAGAAGCGUGAGUGCAUGGACAGCGUCUGUGUUGGUGCUGUGGGGCUGACAUCCUCUCCAGCACACUUGGCAGCGAGCGCAAGGACCACAUGUCAAAAAUCUGGGGGGCCCAAAGGCUGCGGACAAAAGUACGGCAAAGAAUUUAAACAUCACAGCAGUCCCUGCCUGGAGGAAACCCUUCUCCCUCUGCCUCUGCUGCAUCUGGAGACAUUGUGAGAACCUUGGAGCAUGCAGGCCUUUGGACAUCCCAGCAUUGGAGAAUUUUGUGUCCAAAAUUCCUGGUCUAUUGUUUAAAUAUGGCCAUGAUGUGAGUGUGAUUUGUGGGAGGGAGAACUUGUCCAGAACUCAGCACUUCUGGAGGUCUCAGAUGAGAACAUAUCCCUCAAUGAUUCUGCUACAGAUAACGGCUGCUGGGCAGUCUGUGCAGUUCACCCAGAGCAGGACUUGGCUCAGCCUUCCCUACAUUUGCCUUGAAUGCAACAUCCAAGCAUGAUCAUAGCUGGAGCUUCCCCUCAUCAAAGCAGAAAAUAAGCAGAAGAACCAGCCACCUGCCACUCACUUGGUCACCUCAACAAGGCCAGGCUGGGGCUGAGAAUCAAUAGCAACGAAACUGAGCUUUUGUGGUGAGUUCUGUCUGAACUGGGAGAGCAAACAACACCUGGAGGAGCUGGGCAUGGGCUGGAAGGGAGAGAGAUGGUGGGCAGAGGCUGUUUGUGCUCCAGGGUGGGGCUCUGGCACGGCAGGAGGAGGAGGAGGAGGAAGAGGAGGCUCCAUCAGCCCUGGUGAGUGGGUGCCUGCCCUGCCCUGGAUGGCAGCAGCUCCUCUGUGCCUGCAGGAGCAGAGCCUGGAGUGGAACUGUCCCAGCCCCUCUGCUCCUGCCUGGGCUGAGCUCAGACAGCACUGGGAAAUCACUGGUCUGGCUUAAUUUUUAAGAUUUAAUUUUUAAGAUUAAUUUUUAAGAAUAAUCACCACUCACAUCUCUGCCCAAGCUGGAUUCCCUGAGGAAACCAUGGAAUUUUGCCCUCCCUGGGAAGCAGGAGGAUGGCACGGUACCCGCUCUGGCUGGGCCCAAAUUCCCAGUGUCCAAGUGAUCUGCGUUUGGGUGCUGGGUUUUUCUAACUUGAUCUGUUUUUGUUGUUGUUUUUAGCCUUCUAAAAACAAACUUCAGAUUCGUCAGCUGGAAGUGAUCUCAUCACAUUACAGACUUGCUUUCUUGGGAAACUGAACCCUUCUGGUGGAAUGAUGGGAAAGUCUCACCUUCCUUUCUUUAAUAUUCCCUUAACCAAGGUUCUAUUGAAAUUAGCUUGGCAGGGCAACAGCUCAGAAAGAAACACACAAAAGAAAACCCUUUGUUACUAUUAAGUUUUUUUAUUCUAUGUAUUUUCUUACUCAUCUUGUGAUUUUGGGGAGAGGGCAAAUGAUUUUUGAAUCUUUAUUGACACAUAUCCAAAUCUCUAGAGAAGGAUACAUUUUACUAACACAGGAGUCUGUUUGUUCCACUGCCAGCAAAAAAAAAAAAAAUAGAGGCAAACCCCAAUAAUUAAUUGUUGCCUUUGGUAGUUUUCUUUGAGCUGCAACACUGUCUGCUCACUCCUACUCCUUUUUCUGCCUCUUACAAAUUCUUUGCACAAGUGGGAGCCCAGCUCAGUGCACCCAGUGCAGGAUCAGUGUCCUCAAUGAGGAUGGGCUUGGCUCCUCUUCAAAGGGAUCUUUUAUCGAGCGCUCAGUGUGAUGUGACAAAGCAGGGAAGUGUGCCAUGGAUGUGGUGCUUCCUAAUCCCCUCCUUCUACCUUGAUUAAACUCGAGGGCAAUUACCCUUGCCAGGGUGGUGAGGGCUGCCAAUGUGCAUCUUGUUUACAGCUGUGCUCAUUUUUUACUUUGUUUUCCCAUUUUGCACUAGGGCAAAACUCAUCUGCUUUAUGCCAUGGAUGAAAUCCAUGUUAAACACCAAGUUUCUGCUGUUUUGCCACAGGAGCUGAGGGAUUCAGGGCGUUGUGUUUCAGGCUGGCACAGUUGCUGUCAUGUGCAAAGUGAUGCCCAGGCUCCCAGAGACCUGCAAGGUCUCACUGUCAGUACAGGGAAGCUUUGGAUGGGGCCAGUAGAAACUAAAAAGAUUUAUUAUGGGACUAUUUUAUUGUGCUAGGAAAAAGAAUUUACUGUGGUGUGAGUGGGCUUUAGACGCUGCUGUAAAGUCCAGAUUAAAAUUUCACAGCAUUUGCCAUUCCAUUUCACCUUAUUUUAUUUUCUGUGUUUUGCUUUCAUUUCUAGAAUCUGCCAUAUUCUGAAUUCUGAUAAAUUUAGAAAGUCUUUUUUUCAAAAACAAACAACCACACCAUAUUUUGGCAAAAAAUACUUGGGGUAACAUUUUUAUUUUACCAGUUUCCCAAUUGCCUAUAGCAGUCACUCUAAAAAAAGACUGCAUCUAACUAAUUUUACUUGAAAAUAUCCUGUUUCUUUUUUUCUCUCUGUUUUUUUAUCUCUUCAGAAGAAGCAGGCCAGGUUUCAGAGAAACUUUACCAGGAAAAAUGCACAUCAGCACCCUGAGAUAUUUCCAUGUUUGGCUUUGAAUCUGUCAGUUUUACAGGGUGAAAAAAAUACAUUGUGAAUUUUCUAGUUCAGAGAUUUGUAGUUUGGUGGUUUGGGCAGAAUGCACUGAGGGCAGGAGCUUUGCUCCAUGGUCAUUCCUGCCUCACCCUGUGUUUCAUGCUUACUCUGUGCCCUGGCAGCCUGCUGGCUUCCUCCUUUUUUCUCUGGAUAAUCUUCCUUCUUUUUUUUUUUUUGGCUAAAACAGCAUGAAAGUCUGUUUCAGCCGAUUAUGACACGAUGCUGAACUUUUCUUUGCCAGGGCUCUCUGGUUGCCCCUGCAGCCACCAGACCAUGGUGGGACACCGUGCCCAGCCCCUGUUGCUCCUGUCUCUGUGCUGUGAUGCCAGGGCCAGCCUGGCAUUCCUCUUGGCACCGUCCUGGCAGGGGUGGCCGGGCAGGCAGAGCUGUUCCUGUUCCUACACCCUGCCCACCUGUUCUCUGCUGUGCUGGAAUACCAGCCAGAGCCUUGGCUCUGCUGUUGCAGGCUGUGUGUGAGGGGUGGUUUUUAAUCCCUCUAUUCAGAGUGUUUCCAGGAACAGGAGGAGAAGCAUACAGCAUAUGCUCACCUCGGCUCCCAGGAGGGGUGGAGGGGUGUACCAGCAGCUGCUGGGGUGAUCCUUGUCCGUCUGUCCUUCCACAUCCACGUCUGAAGGUGUGCUCAGGGUGCCUGGCAUCACCCCAUGAGCAGGUGAGCACCACGAGCAGGUGCUGUCCCUUCCUCCCCUCUGCAGCCAGCAGCAUGGACAGGGGUGUCACAGGCAGAGGGGCUGGAGGAGGGACUCCAUCCUCUCCUGGUUUUCCUCCAGCUGGAGCAGCUCCACAGCAGGGCUGGGAGCACCUCAAAGGCACAGGAUCUCCCUUUAUGGUCACAGUGGUCCUUGGGUGUUUGGAAAUUUGUUGGAUUAAGGAUUUACAUUUGACCAAAGCAGGUGAGAUCUGGAUGCACCUUUGGGCUCAAAACACACGAGAUAUCUGCAGCAGUAGAGCAGGGGGAGUUUGGAAGUCUGGAAGUUUGGAAGUCUGUUGGAUUAAGGACUCUGGUUUGGCCAAAGCAGGUGAGAUCUGGCUCCGGCUUUGGGCACAAACCACACGAGAUAUCUGCAGCAGCAGAGCAGGGGGAGCAGGCUGAGUGCUGAUCUCCUGCAUCCUGCACCUCCCCACGUCUGCCCUUGUCACCAAAUCUCCAGCACAUCCAUCCUUGAUGUCCUGCAUUGCUCAUUGCCUGACCCCCAGCUGACCCAGCUGCAGCCAACAGGAACACUGGCAUCACUGGCAUCACUGGCACCUCAUCUCCCCCCUCCUCCUGUUCCCUCCUGUGUGCCCACUCUGCUCUGGCUGCCCACCCUGCCCUGGGCACCAUCUGCUGAGCUUGGGGCUGUCUCCUCUCACCAACUGUCGUUUGUCCUGCCUGGGGGGGCAAUGUGCUCACGUUCUGCAUCAAAGGACCCUCAGCCCCUCUCUUUGUGGGCCAGCCGGGCUGUCGGAGAGGAGCCAAGCACUUGGCACUCAGCAAGCAAGGAGCAUUAAUGAAAGCAUUGCAGUGAGGUUAGAGCCUCAUUAAAGCACUGCUAACGAA